GCCAGGUUUGGUGGUGUGCACCUGUAGUCCCAGCUACUCAGGAGGCUGAGGUGGAGGAUCCCUUGAGCCCAGGAGGUCAGGGCUGCAGUGAGCCAUGAUUGUGCCACUGCACUCCAGCCUGGGCAAGAGAGCGAGACCCUAUCUCAA
ensembl:misc_RNA Metazoa_SRP Metazoan signal recognition particle RNA